rnacentral:rRNA from 1 species
UACGUAGGUGGCAAGCGUUGUCCGGAUUUACUGGGCGUAAAGAGCGCGCAGGCGGUCGUCCAAGUCGCGUGUGAAAGCCCCCGGCUCAACUGGGGAGGGUCACGCGAUACUGGUCGACUCGAAGGCAGGAGAGGGUAGUGGAAUUCCUGGUGUAGCGGUGAAAUGCGCAGAUAUCAGGAAGAACACCCGUGGCUAAGGCGGCUCUCUAGUACGGUACUGACGCUGAGACGCGAAAGCGUGGGGAGCGAACAGG